AAAGUGACGUAAAUGAACCGGGCAAACGGCGAAAAGGACGAAAGAAAAGUCUGAAAAGGUUCACGGAAAAACAGUUAAAACUACAAGGUUUAGCUUCGGUCAAUUGGGGAACAAGCUCUUACGUUGGUUGAUGACAAUGAAAGCAAUAAACGUCAUUUAACCAUCAGUUCUGGCCUUCUCAACUUUGACUGGAUGCUACACUCUGCAGGACGCUCACUUUGUGUCUUUGUUGCUGACGCAGUUCUGUUCUCCUGCAGCGAAGCUCCUGUGCUGCUCCCUGCUGGCUGUCUGUCUGCAUGCACAGCUGAAGCACAGAUAUUUAGAAUAUCCGUAACAAUGUGGAAAAGUGUUUUAACUUUAAUGCAUGCUGGGAGGUGAGGCAUGAAGUAAAUGAUCAAUUGGACGUUUACUCACCUUAAUUCAUUAUAAUACAUUAUACAUAAACAAUAUAAACUUGAAACUGUAAUCACCCUGAGAAUUGUUGAUUGAAUGCAACAGAUGUGACAAAACCAAUUAAAUUCAACAUAUGUUUUUAAAUAAAUGCACAAAAUCCCGGAGGCAAAGAGGCAGGACAGACUCUUUAAUUAUGAUUUCCUCUGGUUACCCCAGGACAGUAUAUAUACUGUCAGUGCUUUGUUAAAGUUGCUUCUUUAUCUAUUCUAUUCAGACUGUGUGAGUUUAUGGUUUCUUGUAACCACUUUACAUGAAGUUUAAUUUCAUACAAACGUUUUUGUUUUUCUAACUGUGACUUUCUGUCAUCUAAAGUUAUGUUGAGUCGGGUGUCAGUACCUGAGUCCAGGUGCUCAGUUUAAGAGCAGUUUUUUAACAGUAAAAUAAACGUAUAGUAUCAAAAGCAAAACUCAUUAUGCAAAUGGCCCCAUUCAGAUGAUGAAUAUUAUUAAAAGGUGCACAAGUAUGUUGCCAUGGCAAUUUACGUUUCCAACUAGCUCUCUCUGUACUGGUUUGCCCUCAAGACCUGCUCUUCAAUACCACACAGCACCGCCUCACACCCUGUACACCUGAGACAGAAAAGGCCGACAUGGAGGGAAGGAGAAAGCCGAUUGCAGUGGGAAGAUCUGGUCCAUGUCCAACUGAAGACACGAGACUCAUAUGUGGAGACGGCAGUACUGCUGGACACUCUCACAGCAGAGGGAGCAGCAGGAGGAGCAGCAGGAGCGGGUCUGUUGUCUGGAUCUGUUGUUCUCUGUUGGAUUUUCUAUGCUGGAUCAUGGCGGAGGCGCAGAGGACACCGGAUAUCGCUAAGAAGCAGUUUCUUCCCCAGAAAGCAACAGUUUCUACCUGACGGGACGAUAUGAGGAUGUGGUACAAGUGAAACCUGGAGAUGACGUCAUUCUGCCAUGUCAGGCUGGUGAAGCCUCCAUCAGAGUUGUAGAGUGGACCAGACCUGACCUGGAGCCAGAGUACGUCCUCCUUUACAGAGAUGGACGCUCAGAUCCAACCCACCAGCAUCCAUCCUUUAAGGACCGGGUGCAGCUGGUGGACAGAGAGCUGAAGGACGGAGACGUGUCUUUAAUUCUGAAGAACGUGAGCAGCAACGACGCUGGAACAUACGAGUGUCGAGUUGCAGCAGGAGGUUCAAGACGUAAGAGAACCAACCUUGACACUCAACCAGUCAGAAUCAUCCAGCUGGAGGUUUCAGGGUCCAACAGCGGAGACGUCGAGGAGGGAAACUACAGACAUUACUACGGACUGGGAGCACCUUUUGUUCUGGUUUGUUUAGCUGCUGUUGGAUUGGUUGUUGGCUGGAAAUAUGAAAGAGAUAAGAACAAGAAACCAGAACAGCCUGCUGCUGAAGAAGCAGUGAACGACUAGUUACUCUGACUUGUCACAGACUCUUUCCACUUGUCAAUAUGUGGUUCAUACAUUCAACAUGAUUUUCAGUCUUUCUGUUGUUGUGAAUGUGUAAAUCUGGCGUUUGAGGCUCUCCACCGUGAUAAUCUGCUUCAUCAGUGCAGACAGACGGUGGGGCGGGGUUUGCGUGCUCGUUGACUUUGGAAGUUGUCUGGUCAGGUCUCCAUGACAAAUUGGUCCCAGGAACAAAAGUCUGAUUUCUGUUGCUUCGCCAACAUGGGUCCCAUUUUUAAGACCUGCGUUGGGACCUGUUCCGGUUGAUCUGGCUGGUGGAUUAUGGUACCAAGUGUUUCAGCAAUAAAGCCGGGGAAAAACUGACAAGUAUAGUGAAGGGCAAUAUGCAAUAUGUAUAAAAGAGGAGGAAGUUACCUGACGGCUUUAAAAAAUGAAGUGAAUAAAAAUGUUACAGUAAGGAGAGUAAAUGUAGCUGGUUGCUUGCAGCCUCAGCACUGAUGUAUCACAGGGAGCUUCAUGAACAGAUUAACCAGCUUUAAACAGAAAAACGGUCUGUGAUGUCAGAAAUGUCAGCAGACAGAGCGCAAACCAAACCUGUUGAAACCAGGUGGAGAGAGGUUUAUUUAUACAUAUAUUAUAUGAUGAAUAUUGAGUAUUCUAAUGUUUUCUUUUAGAAUUUGAUGUUUUAAAACCUGUGAUGUCUGUAUAUAUUUGUUAUAAGCUAAUGAUAUCAGAAGGACGUGGCCUUGUGUGAUUUAACCAGAGGAGUUUAUUAAACUCUGAUUAGAUCAGACCUGUGGUCAGAGCAUCUGAUGAAACUCUGUCAAACUGAGAAUAAUUGACAGAGUAGAAUUACACGAUCGGUACAAAAGAACAUGUGGUUAUGCAAUAAUAUGAAUUAAACAAAAAGCAAUAACUUGCACUCUGCACAAAUGUACUUAAAGUGAUUCUUUUAACUAUAUUUUGGGAUAAAAUAAAUAUUUUUCAUGUUGUUACAUUUA